UACAGAGGGGGCAAGCGUUGUUCGGAAUUACUGGGCGUAAAGGGCGCGUAGGCGGCCUGUUAAGUCGAACGUGAAAUCCCCGGGCUCAACCCGGGAACUGCGUCCGAUACUGGAUGGCUUGAAUUCGGGAGAGGGAUGCAGAAUUCCAGGUGUAGCGGUGAAAUGCGUAGAUAUCUGGAGGAAUACCGGUGGCGAAGGCGGCAUCCUGGACCGACAUUGACGCUGAGGAGCGAAAGCUAGGGGAGCAAACGGG
rnacentral:rRNA from 1 species